ACGAAGGGGGCUAGCGUUGUUCGGAAUUACUGGGCGUGAAGCGCGCGCAGGCGGUUCUCCAAGUCAGUGGUGAAAGCCCGGGGCUCAACUCCGGAAUUGCCUUUAAGACUGCAUCGCUAAAAUUGUGGAGAGGUAAGUGGAAUUCCGAGUGUAGAGGUGAAAUUCGUAGAUAUUCGGAAGAACACCAGUGGCGAAGGCGACUUACUGGACACAUAUUGACGCUGAGGUGCGAAAGCGUGGGGAGCGAACAGGA
rnacentral:rRNA from 1 species